AUUGAACGCUGGCGGCAGGCCUAACACAUGCAAGUCGAACGAGUGGCGGACGGGUGCGUAAUGUCUGGGAAACUGCCUGAUGGAGGGGGAUAACUACUGGAAACGGUAGCUAAUACCGCAUACCAUCGGAUGUGCCCAGAUGGGAUUAGCUAGUAGGUGGGGUAACGGCUCACCUAGGCGACGAUCCCUAGCUGGUCUGCGAGGAUGCCCAGCCACACUGGAACUGAGACCGGGUCCGACCUCCUACGGGAGGCACCAGUGGGAAUUAUUGCACAAUGGGCGCAAGCCUUCUGCAGCCAGGCCGGGUGUAGGAAGAAGCCCUUCGGGUGGGAAAGUACUUUCAGCGGGGAGUCGUUACCCGCAGAAGAAGCACCGGCUAACUCCGUGCCAGCAGCCGCGGUAAUAC
rnacentral:rRNA from 1 species